rnacentral:rRNA from 1 species
CAGCCGCCGCGGAAUACGGAGGGGGCUAGCGUUGUUCGGAAUUACUGGGCGUAAAGCGCACGUAGGCGGCUUGGUAAGUUAGAGGUGAAAGCCCGGAGCUCAACUCCGGAAUUGCCUUUAAGACUGCCGAGCUAGUAGGUGAGAGAGGUAAGUGGAAUUCCGAGUGUAGAGGUGAAAUUCGUAGAUAUUUGUAGGAAUGCCGAUGGGGAAGCCAGCUUACUGGACAGAUACUGACGCUAAAGCGCGAAAGCGUGGGUAGCAAACAGGAUUAGAUACCCCUGUAGUCCCUGUCUCUUAUACA